rnacentral:rRNA from 1 species
UACGUAGGUGGCAAGCGUUUGUCCGGAUUUACUGGGCGUAAAGAGCGCGCAGGCGGUCGUUCAAGUCGCGUGUGAAAGCCCCCGGCUCAACUGGGGAGGGUCACGCGAUACUGAUCGACUCGAAGCAGGAGAGGGAAGUGGAAUUCCCGGUGUAGCGGUGAAAUGCGUAGAUAUCGGGAGGAACAUCAGUGGCGAAGGCGACACCCUGGACUCAUACUGACACUGAGGUGCGAAAGCGUGGGGAGCAAACAGG